AGAGUUUGAUCCUGGCUCAGGACGAACGCUGGCGGCGUGCCUAAUACAUGCAAGUAGAACGCUGAAGAGAGGAGCUUGCUCUUCUUGGAUGAGUUGCGAACGGGUGAGUAACGCGUAGGUAACCUGCCUUGUAGCGGGGGAUAACUAUUGGAAACGAUAGCUAAUACCGCAUAACAAUGGAUGACACAUGUCAUUUAUUUGAAAGGGGCAAUUGCUCCACUACAAGAUGGACCUGCGUUGUAUUAGCUAGUAGGUGAGGUAACGGCUCACCUAGGCGACGAUACAUAGCCGACCUGAGAGGGUGAUCGGCCACACUGGGACUGAGACACGGCCCAGACUCCUACGGGAGGCAGCAGUAGGGAAUUUUCGGCAAUGGGGGAAACCCUGACCGAGCAACGCCGCGUGAAGGAAGAAGUAAUUCGUUAUGUAAACUUCUGUCAUAGAGGAAGAACGGUGGAUAUAGGGAAUGAUAUCCAAGUGACGGUACUCUAUAAGAAAGCCACGGCUAACUACGUGCCAGCAGCCGCGGUAAUACGUAGGUGGCGAGCGUUAUCCGGAAUUAUUGGGCGUAAAGAGGGAGCAGGCGGCACUAAGGGUCUGUGGUGAAAGAUCGAAGCUUAACUUCGGUAAGCCAUGGAAACCGUAGAGCUAGAGUGUGUGAGAGGAUCGUGGAAUUCCAUGUGUAGCGGUGAAAUGCGUAGAUAUAUGGAGGAACACCAGUGGCGAAGGCGACGAUCUGGCGCAUAACUGACGCUCAGUCCCGAAAGCGUGGGGAGCAAAUAGGAUUAGAUACCCUAGUAGUCCACGCCGUAAACGAUGAGUACUAAGUGUUGGGUGUCAAAGCUCAGUGCUGCAGUUAACGCAAUAAGUACUCCGCCUGAGUAGUACGUUCGCAAGAAUGAAACUCAAAGGAAUUGACGGGGGCCCGCACAAGCGGUGGAGCAUGUGGUUUAAUUCGAAGCAACGCGAAGAACCUUACCAGGUCUUGACAUCCCGAUGCUAUUUCUAGAGAUAGAAAGUUACUUCGGUACAUCGGUGACAGGUGGUGCAUGGUUGUCGUCAGCUCGUGUCGUGAGAUGUUGGGUUAA
rnacentral:rRNA from 1 species